GAUGAACGCUGGCGGCGUGCCUAAUACAUGCAAGUCGAGCGAACGGACGAGAAGCUUGCUUCUCUGAUGUUAGCGGCGGACGGGUGAGUAACACGUGGAUAACCUACCUAUAAGACUGGGAUAACUUCGGGAAACCGGAGCUAAUACCUGAUGAUAUUUUGAACCGCAUGGUUCAAAAGUGAAAGACGGUCUUGCUGUCACUUAUAGAUGGAUCCGCACUGCAUUAGCUAGUUGGUAAGGUAACGGCUUACCAAGGCAACGAUGCAUAGCCGACCUGAGAGGGUGAUCGGCCACACUGGAACUGAGACACGGUCCAGACUCCUACGGGAGGCAGCAGUAGGGAAUCUUCCGCAAUGGGCGAAAGCCUGACGGAGCAACGCCGCGUGAGUGAUGAAGGUCUUCGGAUCGUAAAACUCUGUUAUUAGGGAAGAACAUAUGUGUAAGUAACUGUGCACAUCUUGACGGUACCUAAUCAGAAAGCCACGGCUAACUACGUG
rnacentral:rRNA from 1 species